rnacentral:sRNA from 3 species
UAUCCCCCAAAUCAAGGGGAGAUGAGAACCACCGACCGGGGUUCGACAACUGGCGCAGCCAGUUGGACAGACGACGAGCCUGCGAGGAGACUGCCCGAAGGGCGAGCGCAGCGAGUCAAUCCCCCCCUCACCGCCA